GCCUUGAUAGUUCAGUUGGUUAGAAUAUUAGUCUCAUGGAUUCCAUGUGACAUCUAAGGGUCGUGAGUUCGAAUCUCACUCAGGGCA